rnacentral:rRNA from 1 species
UACGUAGGGUGCAAGCGUUGUCCGGAAUUAUUGGGCGUAAAGAGCUCGUAGGCGGUCUGUUACGUCGGGAGUGAAAACUCGGGGCUCAACCCCGAGCCUGCUUCCGAUACGGGCAGACUAGAGGUAUGCAGGGGAGAAUGGAAUUCCUGGUGUAGCGGUGAAAUGCGCAGAUAUCAGGAGGAACACCGGUGGCGAAGGCGGUUCUCUGGGCAUUACCUGACGUGAGGAGCGAAAGUGUGGGGAGCGAACAGG